rnacentral:tRNA from 1 species
UCCUUCAUAGCUCAGUCAGUAAAGAAUCUGCCUGCAAUGCAGGAGACUCAGGUUUGAUUCCUGAGUCAGGAA